rnacentral:rRNA from 1 species
UACGAAGGGGGCUAGCGUUGCUCGGAAUUACUGGGCGUAAAGCGCGCGUAGGCGGGCCGUUAAGUCGGGGGUGAAAGCCUGGGGCUCAACCUCAGAAUUGCCUUCGAUACUGGCGGCCUGGAGCAUGAUAGAGGCGAGUGGAAUUCCCAGUGUAGAGGUGAAAUUCGUAGAUAUUCGGAGGAACACCAGUGGCGAAGGCGACUCGCUGGAUCAUUGCUGACGCUGAGGCGAGAAAGCGUGGGUAGCAAACAGG